UCUACGGGCGGCUGCAGUGGGGAAUAUUGGACAAUGGGCGAAAGCCUGAUCCAGCAAUGCCGCGUGAGUGAUGAAGGCCUUAGGGUUGUAAAGCUCUUUUACCCGGGAAGAUAAUGACUGUACCGGGAGAAUAAGCCCCGGCUAACUCCGUGCCAGCAGCCGCGGUAAUACGGGGGGGGCUAGCGUUGUUCGGAAUUACUGGGCGUAAAGCGAACGUAGGCGGCUUUGUAAGUUAGAGGUGAAAGCCUGGGGCUCAACUCCAGAAUUGCCUUUAAGACUGCAUCGCUUGAACGUCGGAGAGGUGAGUGGAAUUCCGCGUGUAGAGGUGAAAUUCGUAGAUAUUCGGAAGAACACCAGUGGCGAAGGCGGCUCACUGGACGACUGUUGACGCUGAGGUGCGAAAGCGUGGGGAGCAAACAGGAUUAGAUACCCUAGUAGUCCCC
rnacentral:rRNA from 1 species